rnacentral:rRNA from 1 species
CCUACGGGAGGCAGCAGUGAGGAAUAUUGGUCAAUGGGCGCGAGCCUGAACCAGCCAAGUCGCGUGAGGGAUGAAGGAUCUAUGGUUUGUAAACCUCUUUUAUAAGGGAAUAAAGUGCGGGACGUGUGCCGCUUCGCAUGUACCUUAUGAAUAAGGAUCGGCUAACUCCGUGCCAGCAGCCGCGGUAAUACGGAGGAUCCGAGCGUUAUUCGGAUUUUUUGGGUUUAAAGGGUGCGUAGGUGGGAUUGUAAGUCAGCGGUGAAAGUCUGUGGCUCAACCAUAGAAUUGCCAUUGAAACUGGGGGGCUUGAGUAUGUUUGAGGCAGGCGGAAUGCGUGGUGUAGCGGUGAAAUGCAUAGAUAUCACGCAGAACCCCGAUUGCGAAGGCAGCCUGCCAAGCCAUGACUGACGCUGAUGCACGAAAGCGUGGGGAUCGAACAGGAUUAGAUACCCCUGUAGUC